rnacentral:lncRNA from 1 species
UUUCAAUCAGCCCACGGGCCUAAAUGGCCUACGCGUCCGGUGAGAAAUGGGGGCGUGAAAUCAAGUUCGUUUCCCACAGAAACCAGUAGUGCUCAUAUGUCUUUUGCGGGGAUGGGAUUGAUGCUGUGAGCGUGUAUCUCUAACACAAGAAACCAGGCCGUGCCCCGUGAUCAGAAAUGCUUCUACGACCUGGGCGCAGGAGAAAUGACACGCUGAAGACAACGCGCACCUUCCCUUGAAGACUUGGGGUCAUCCUUGGCUGUCCCAGCCCUCAUGGUGGCUACAGAUAUGUGACAGAGACAGAUACGUCGACGGUACACGUGAAAUAGUUGAAUGGAGUUCUCCACUGGGCAUUCGGAGAAGAUGCCUCAGAAGAGAGCUAACGUUUCAGAGUUUGUUGGCAUAGAUGUGUCUCAGGCAGUGCUCUCCAGAGAAACCAAACCAAUAGGAUAUUUACCUAUUCCUAUCUCUCUAUCUAUCUAUCAUCAUCAUCUAUUAUCUCUAUCAAUCACCUAUUAUCUAUCUAUCUAUCUAUCAUCUAUCUAUGUAUCUAUCUAUCAUCUAUCUAUCAUCUGUCUAUUUUCUAUCAUCUAUCUAUCUAUCCAUCUAUCUAUCUAUCAUCUAUCUGUCUAUCAUCUGUCUAUCUAUCAUCUGUCUAUCUAUCAUCUAUCUAUCAUCUAUCUAUUAUCUAUCUAUCAUCUGUCUAUCAUCUAUCUAUCUAUCAAUCUAUCUAUCUAUCUAUCUAUCAUCUAUCUAUCUUUCUAUCUAUCAUGUAUCUACCUAUCAUCUAUCUAUCAUCUAUCUUCUAUCAUCUAUCUAUCUAUCUAUCAUCUGUCUGUCUAUCAUCUAUCUAUCUAUCUAUCUAUCUAUCAUCUAUUAUCUAUCUAUCUGUCUAUCAUCUAUCUAUCUAUCAUCUAUCUAUCUGUCUAUCUAUCAUCUAUCUAUCAUCUAUCAAUCAAUCUAUCAUCUAUCAAUCUAUCUAUCAUCUAUCUAUCAUCUAUCUAUCUAUCAUCUAUCUAUCUAUCUAUCUACCUAUCUAUCUAUCUAUCUUUCUAUCUAUCAUGUAUCUACCUAUCAUCUAUGUAUCUAUGUAUGUAUAUAUGUAUCUAUCUAUCUAUCAUGUAUCUAUCUGUCAUCUAUCUAUCAUCUAUCUCUCUAUCACCUGUCUAUCUAUCUGUUUAUCAUCUAUCAUCUAUCUAUCUAUUUAUCUAUCAUGUAUCUACCUAUCAUCUAUCUAUCAUCUAUCUAUCUAUCUAUCUAUCUAUCUAUCUACCAUCUAUCUAUUUAACUAUCAUCUAUCUGUCUGUCUAUCAUCUAUCUAUCUGUCUAUAUAUCAUUUAUUUAUCUAUCUAUCAUCUAUCUAUCUAUCUAUCUAUCUAUCAUCUAUCUACCUAUCUAUCAUCUAUCUACCUGUCUAUCUAUCUAUCUAUCUAUCAUCUAUCUAUCUA